rnacentral:rRNA from 1 species
AUACGUAGGGUGCGAGCGUUGUCCGGAAUUACUGGGCGUAAAGAGCUCGUAGGUGGUUUGUCGCGUCGUCUGUGAAAUUCCGGGGCUUAACUCCGGGCGUGCAGGCGAUACGGGCAUAACUUGAGUACUGUAGGGGAGACUGGAAUUCCUGGUGUAGCGGUGUAAUGCGCAGAUAUUAGGAGGAACACCGGUGGCGAAGGCGGGUCUCUGGGCAGUAACUGACGCUGAGGAGCGAAAGCAUGGGUAGCGAACAGGAUUAGAUACCCUGGUAGUCCAUGCCGUAAACGGUGGGCGCUAGGUGUAGGGGUCUUCCACGACUUCUGUGCCGUAGCUAACGCAUUAAGCGCCCCGCCUGGGGAGUACGGCCGCAAGGCUAAAACUCAAAGGAAUUGACGGGG